rnacentral:rRNA from 1 species
GCGCGAAAACUUCGCAAUGCGCGAAAGCGCGACGAGGGAAUCCCAAGUGCUUGCACGUAAGUGUAAGCUGUUUCUAUGUCUAAAACGCAUAGAGAGUAAGAGCUGGGUAAGACGGGUGCCAGCCGCCGCGGUAAUACCUGCAGCUCAAGUGGUGGCCACUAUUAUUGGGCCUAAAACGUCCGUAGCCGGCUUAUUAAAUGCCCGGGUAAAUCGUACGGCUUAACCGUACGAAUUCCGGGUAGACUGAUAGGCUUGGGACCGGGAGAAGCUAGAGGUACUCUUGGGGUAGAGGUGAAAUUCUGUAAUCCUAGGGGGACCACCAGUGGCGAAGGCGUCUAGCUAGAACGGGUCUGACGGUGAGGGACGAAGCCCUGGGGAGCAAACGGGAUUAGAUACCCCGGUAGUCCAGGGUGUAAACGCUGCUUGCUUGAUGUUAGUCGGGCUCCGAGCCCGAUUAGUGUCGGAGAGAAGUUGUUAAGCAAGCUGCCUGGGAAGUACGAUCGCAAGACUGAAACUUAAAGGAAUUGGCGGGGGAGCA